UUGAGAGGGUCCAACAUGACCCACUGUCGAUCUGGGAGCGUGCUAGUGAAGAAGCUGAGAUUUGGUUAACCUUACAGGUUCUGAGACGUCGUCUAUCAGAGAGCAAUGGCGAAAACCUCCUCCAAGAGUUUUGAAAUGUAACAUUGGGUCAUCGUGGUUGACUGGGAACUAUAACUCGGGUGUUUCUUGGAUCCUACGCAAUAGCAAGGGGCAAUGUGUGAGGCCCCGACUCGGUUUCCAUUACCGGCGGUUCGUCCUCAGUUCGCUUCCCUCGACCAAACUGGCCAUAUCCAAAUUUUCCCUUAACUUAGGAUUUGUAUCCAGUUUUCCUCUAUGAGGUUCAGUUCAGAUCCGAG
rnacentral:lncRNA from 1 species